rnacentral:lncRNA from 1 species
CCCCAAUGCUAGGCAUCCUUCUGCAAGCUCCACUGGAAAUUUCUUUCUUCUGGGACUGUUACCUUCAAAGGAAAAACAUGUUAUAUGGAAGACAGAGAAAUCGUGUGCUGCAUAAAGUGAUCUGUCUUGGAAUACAGUAAGCUUUAGGUGAGGAGGAAGGGACUAUAUGGAGCUACUGCUAAUCUAGAG